GGGGGGGGGGGGCGGGGGGGGUGGCGGGGGCAGGGGGGGCGGGGGGGCCUCGGCUUGCGGGGGUCCGCGGUUGGGGGACGGGGGAGGAAGGGGUGGGUGGUCUGCCCUGCACUUCGGGAUACGCCUGGGAGACGGGGUCUCAUCCCGGCUCGGACAAUGGUUUGGAGUCUGUUGUGGGACUGUUUGCGGUUGGGGAUGAGCUCGCGGCCUAUUAGCUUGUUGGUGGGGUCAUGGCCUACCCAGGCGUCGCGGGGUAGCCGGCCUGAGAGUAUGUACGGCCACAUUGGGACUGAGAGACGGCCCAGAGUCCUACGGGAGGCAGCAGUGGGGAAUAUUGCACAAUGGGCGCAAGCCUGAUGCAGGGACGCCGCGUGAGGGAUGACGGCCUUCGGGUUGUAAACUCCUUUCGCUAGGGACGAAGCGUUUUUGUGACGGUACCUGGAGAAGAAGCACCGGCUAACUACGUG
rnacentral:rRNA from 1 species